rnacentral:tRNA from 1 species
GGAUCGGUAGCUCAAUUGGCGGAGCACACGGCCGUUAACCGUGAGGUUGUGGGAUCGUCACCCACCCGGUCCU